AUUCGUAGGCGGUUUCGAUACCCGCAAUUUUGAGCAGAGUGAGCGCUCACUUUAUUUCCUCAUCUCUGGUAUCAUAAGCAACCUCUAGCUUCACUGAUGCCCGAAUCGAGCCAUUCAUUGACUACAGCGAGUAGAUGUUGCAAAUGAGAUAACAUUACGACACACUUUAGAUGUUUGAUUUGGUGGUGUAAGUUAGCGUGUAGUCCCCCGUGGACGAUGUUAGCUUCGGACAGCAGUUUGACAUAUAAUAUGUUUAACAUAACAGUGAACUUACAGACUCUAACGUUAACGUUACCUCACCAGCAGCGACACUUUGAUGCCCCGAGUUGAGCUCGUCGCUCUCCUGUAAGGUAGCUGUGAGAAACCUCUUUUGACAUCUUCUUGAACACCAUGGCCCCACACCCGAUGGUCCAGGCCAUCAUUGACCUCUCUGCAGGAGCCAUAGGGGGAGCUGCAUGUGUCUUUAGUGGGCAGCCUCUGGACACAGCAAAGGUCAAGAUGCAGACCUUUCCCACGAUGUACCGGGGUUUCAUCCACUGCGUCGUGUCCACCUACAAACAAGUGGGCCUGCGCGGUCUCUACCAGGGCACCACGCCGGCACUGAUGGCCAACAUCGCCGAGAACUCUGUGCUCUUCAUGAGCUACGGCUUCUGCCAGCAGGUCAUCCGCUUCACGGCUGGACUGCACAGUGAAGCUGUGCUGAGUGACAUGCAGAAAGCCUGCGCUGGCUCUGUAGCAUCCAUCUUCUCCUCGCUAGUACUCUGCCCCACUGAGCUCGUCAAGUGUCGGCUGCAAGCCAUGUAUGAAAUGGAGGUAUCAGGCAAGAUUGCUAAGAGCCAGAACACAGUGUGGUCGGUGGUGAAAUCCAUUAUGAGGAAUGAGGGACCGCAGGGCUUCUUCCAGGGCCUGACCACCACCAUAGCCAGAGAGGUCCCUGGUUACUUUUGCUUCUUCGGUGCCUAUGAGCUCUGCCGCACUGCCUUUGCAGACUACAUGAAAUGUGACAAAGACCACAUAGGUACUGGCAAAAUGUUCUGCCUGCACCACCACAGAGCGCAAAAUAUUUCCCCCCUGUUGAACAGCAACUUCAAACGUCAGAUUUUGAUGUCAGCUCACAGUAAUAUUAGCAAUGUGUGGCUCCAAUCAUGUUCAGCGGUGGUUUCGGGGGGGCGUGCCUAUGGCUGGUGGUCUAUCCUAUGGACUGUGUCAAGUCUCGAAUCCAGGUCAUGUCUAUGACGGGCAAACAGGGAGGGUUUUUCAAAACCUUCAUGACCAUUGCUCGUACUGAGGGCGUGAGGGCGCUCUACUCUGGUCUUACCCCCACCAUGGUCCGCACCUUCCCUGCUAACGGAGCACUGUUCCUGGGUUAUGAGGCCAGCCGGAAGCUCAUGAUGAAGCAGUUUGACAGCUAGAAUACGAGCAACACUAAUGACAGAGCGGCGAACUGGAAGUGAAGUAUUAUACCUAUAUAACAUCAUCAAAACUCUAGUUAAAGAUUCAAAUCUUACAAUAUAUGGGAUGUGGUUUUUGCCAUUUCCUGGUUCCGUUAAACUUACCCAAAAACUACCCAACAUCUCUCACACAUCUGGCAUAGUGUUGACAUAGUGUUUAAAUUCUAAUAAUUUAUUUUGGAUAUUUAAGUAUUGCUUUUAACGCUCAACCAACAAACAACAUACAUGUGUAUAUGAGAAAAAUGUGUAUGUGUAGCAAAGUAUUGAGCAACCUCAACCAGCCUCUUUAAGAGGAAUCGUCAACACUUCAGUUGAUUAUUUUAUGUCUACCUCAACAGACUGGUAUCCGCACAGAAAUAUUUUUCUCCGCCCAGACAUUUAAAAUAAUUCUUUACUUGCUUUCUAUGCAGGUAAGAGAAUCAUGCUGUUAGGUUGUGAGGUUAUUUUUGAAUCUAAAAACCUUAAUUAAGCUAAUUGCAUUAAGAUUUUAUUUAAAAAUAUAAAGUGGCAUAUACUACUUCUUUUAAGUUGCCUAAAAUGUGUUCUGAUGAUUUGUUUUUUAUUUCAAUAAUGGAAUCAUUCUCAGCUAAGAAUGCGCCUUAGUUUUGGAUCUUGGUUUGUUUAGACGUGACAAAAAAAUAUGCUAAAACAUUUGCGCACUUUUUACACUGUGCAGCUUUACUUUUCAAUCAGCUAUCAUAGAAAAGGUUUCAGUCGUAGUCAUCUGGACUGAAACCUUUUCUAUGAUAGAACACUCCUGGACGGAUGAGGGACUACACCGUCUUAUUUUCAAUCAGCUGUUACUGAUAUCACUACAUUUAGCCUUUUUUGUUGUGUAACCUUUAUUUUAAAAGUCAAUGACAGAAAAUAUCAACUGCCUCAUCCAAUGUGCCAUUUGCACGCUGGAUUCCACAUGCAGUUUUUUUCCAGUGCUUAGUAGUUGGCAAUUCAGAAAUCUCAGUCAUAUUCCUUUAAAGUUCAUUGAGAAAUGUAGGCGUUUUAGAAUGCUAACAAUUUGCGAUGAAACUGAAAUGUUUGUAUAGAUAUCAAUCCUGAUAUUCACUGUAGUAAUACAACCUACAUUAAAGGUGUCAUUGAAGAAUAA